AAUGGAAUUGCUGGGUCAUAUGGUAAUUCUACGUUUAACUUUUUGAAGAGCUACCAAAAUGUUUUCCACAGUGGCUGCACCAUUUUACAUUCCCACCAGCAAU
rnacentral:pre_miRNA from 1 species